CCGUCGACUGUAGGGGGCGCGCUGAUGUUGGAACGUUUGUAUAACGGAAAUAGGAAUACGUUGUACUGUACUUACUUCCGGUUGCGGAUCCUGCGCAUGAAAUACGAGUGUUAGCCGUUUAGGCUUCCAGGUGACUUCAUCUGACUGAUUAAUAUGAAACACAUCCUACUGCAGGGCCACGAACGGUCCACCACUCAGAUGAAGUUCGACGGAGAAGGAGACCUGUUUUCCGUCGCCAAAGAUCCAGUGGCCAAUGUGUGGAACGACUCGGUACCUACAGCGGACACAUAGGAGCUGUACAGUGCGUCGACUGUGACUGGGGACACCAAAAAUGUCUUGACAGGAUCAGCCGACAACAGCUGUCAACUGUGGGACUGCGAGACCGCAGGUUGAAAAGAAAAUGCCUGUGUUUACAUAGAUAGAAGUUUCUGAAUCCCUCGGGAGUUCCAGCAGCAGUACAGCAUCAAUAAAAAUGCACAAAUAGGUAAAAUGCAAACAUGAGUAGCAGCACACUGUCAAUGAAUAUGGGACAUCUGAACAGUGGAUGUUAGUAGAUGAGUCUGUUAGUCGAAGUAGAUAGAGUAGUGUUAUUAGUAUGAGUACAUAAUUAUUGUUGCCAUGUGUGGUGUAAUGUGGUGCAAUCUCAAUUAUUAUAUGUUAUAUUUUUGUUAUUCUAAAUUAAAUUAUGUGUAUGUAUAGCAAAGUACACAUUAUACACAUACUGUAUACCUAUGAUAGGUAUAUAUAAGCAGCACUAGUAUAAUUAUAAGGAUGUUAUGUGAACAAGUAUAUAAAAUAAAUAUAUAAUAUAUGAAAUACUGGAUAUGCACAGUGUAAAUAGUUGAGUAAUGAAAUUAAAUAAACUGUAAGCUAUAUAAGUGGUUCCAGCAGACAUAUUAGUAGACAUAGUGUUUAAAUGUAUUUUGGUGUUUAAUUUUAUGUAAAUAUAAUGAAUAUAUGUACGGGUAUUAAAUGAUUGUACCGACCUUCA